GCCCUUCGGGGUACUCGAGCGGCGAACGGGUGAGUAACACGUGAGUAAUCUGCCCCUGGCUUUGGGAUAGCCACCGGAAACGGUGAUUAAUACCGGAUACGACCACUUCUCGCAUGGGAUGGUGGUGGAAAGUUUUUCGGCCAGGGAUGUGCUCGCGGCCUAUCAGCUUGAUGGUGAGGUAAUGGCUCACCAUGGCUUCGACGGGUAGCCGGCCUGAGAGGGUGACCGGUCACACUGGGACUGAGACACGGCCCAGACUCCUACGGGAGGCAGCAGUGGGGAAUAUUGGACAAUGGGCGGAAGCCUGAUCCAGCAACGCCGCGUGAGGGAUGACGGCCUUCGGGUUGUAAACCUCUUUCAGCAGGGACGAAGCGCAAGUGACGGUACCUGCAGAAGAAGCACCGGCCAACUACGUGCCAGCAGCCGCGGUAAUACGUAGGGUGCGAGCGUUGUCCGGAAUUAUUGGGCGUAAAGGGCUCGUAGGCGGUCUGUCGCGUCGGGAGUGAAAACCAGGUGCUUAACACCUGGCUUGCUUUCGAUACGGGCAGACUAGAGGUAUUCAGGGGAGAACGGAAUUCCUGGUGUAGCGGUGAAAUGCGCAGAUA
rnacentral:rRNA from 1 species